rfam:Trichosporon asahii var. asahii CBS 8904 unplaced genomic scaffold scaffold00033, whole genome shotgun sequence.
GGCCGCUUAGCUCAGCUGGUUAGAGCAUCGUACUAAUAAUCAGUUCUGAUUAUCAGUCCAUGCGGAGGUCGGCAGUUCGAUCCUGUCAGUGGUCA